rnacentral:rRNA from 1 species
UACAGAGGGGGCGAGCGUUGUUCGGAAUUACUGGGCGUAAAGGGCGCGUAGGCGGCCUCUUAAGUCGAACGUGAAAUCCCCGGGCUCAACCCGGGAACUGCGUCCGAUGCUGGGGGGCUUGAAUCCGGGAGAGGGAUGUGGAAUUCCAGGUGUAGCGGUGAAAUGCGUAGAUAUCUGGAGGAACACCGGUGGCGAAGGCGGCAUCCUGGACCGGUAUUGACGCUGAGGCGCGAAAGCUAGGGGAGCAAACGGG